UACGGGGGGAGCAAGCGUUGUUCGGAUUUACUGGGCGUAAAGCGUGCGCAGGCGGUUUUGUAAGUUUGUCGUGAAAUCCCCCGGGCUCAACCUGGGAAUGGCGAUGAAGACUGCAAGGCUAGAAUCUGGCAGAGGGGGGUAGAAUUCCACGUGUAGCAGUGAAAUGCGUAGAGAUGUGGAGGAACACCGAUGGCGAAGGCAGCCCCCUGGGCCAAUACUGACGCUCAUGCACGAAAGCGUGGGGAGCAAACAGG
rnacentral:rRNA from 1 species